rnacentral:rRNA from 1 species
CCCUGCCCUUUGUACACACCGCCCGUCGCACCUACCGAUUGAAUGGUCCUGUGAAACCUCCGGAUUGCCUGGCCCCUGCGGCCAGCGCGAGAAGUUGGUUAAACCUUACCAUUUAGAGGAAGGUGAAGUCGUAACAAGGUUUCCGUAGGU